rnacentral:rRNA from 1 species
GGAUCAGUAGGUUGGUCGUGCCACUGGUACGCACUGGCCUCACUGGUUCCUCCUUCCUGAUGAACCGUAAUGCCAUUAAUUUGGUGUUGCGGGGAAACUGGACUGUUACUUUGAAAAAUUAGAGUGUUUAAAGCAGGCUAACGCUUGAAUACAUUAGCAUGGAAUAAUGAAAUAGGACGCUCGAUCCUAUUUUGUUGGUUUCUAGGAUUGACGUAAUGAU